rnacentral:rRNA from 1 species
CCUACGGGUGGCAGCAGUAGGGAAUUUUGCGCAAUGGGCGAAAGCCUGACGCAGCAACGCCGCGUGAUUGAUUAAGCCCUUCGGGGUGUAAAGAUCUGUCAGUGGGGACGCAACUUGACGGUACCCACCGAGGACGCACCGGCUCACGCCGUGCCAGCAGCCGCGGUAAUACGGAGGGUGCAAGCGUUGUCCGGAAUCAUUGGGCGUAAAGAGUUCGUAGGUGGCAUAGGAAGUCUGGUGUUAAAGGCAGAGGCUCAACUUCUGUUCGGCACUGGAUACUGGUAAGCUUGAAUGCGGGAGAGGUAAAGGGAAUUCCUGGUGUAGCGGUGAAAUGCGUAGAUAUCAGGAGGAACAGCGGUGGCGUAAGCGGUGUACUGGGCCUUAAUUGACACUGAGGAACGAAAGCCGGGGUAGCAAAUGGGAUUAGAUACCCGUGUAGUC